rnacentral:rRNA from 1 species
GACAGAGGGGGCAAGCGUUGCUCGGAAUUACUGGGCGUAAAGGGCGCGUAGGCGGGAUGGUAAGUCGGUCGUGAAAUCCCUCGGCUCAACCGAGGAACGUCGAUCGAUACUACCGUUCUUGAGGAUUGCAGAGGAGACUGGAAUUCCCGGUGUAGCGGUGAAAUGUGUAGAGAUCGGGAGGAACACCGGUGGCGAAGGCGGGUCUCUGGGCAAUUCCUGACGCUGAGGCGCGAAAGCGUGGAGAGCAAACAGG